rnacentral:lncRNA from 1 species
AUGCCAAGAUGGCUUUGCGCGAGCCAGUGGGAACUCACGCGGCGCCGCCGGCCCUCUUAUAGAGCCGGGGGGCGGCGCGCGCUCUGCCCCGCGCCGCGCCCCAUUGGCCGCGCGCGCCGCGGCCGCCGGGCGCCCAUUGGCCGCGGUGCAAACAAUGGGGCACGGCCGCUUAAAGGAGCCGGCGAGCGCCGCCACUGCGGUGAUGAGUUGUGCUCGGUCUCAGCGCGGCGGGCGCAGAGGGGAGCAGAGCCACGCCCCCCCGUGCUACCUCCGCCCCCGCCGCCUCCGCCCCGCCCCUCCCGCCGUGUGAGGCGGCGGGCGGGAGUGGGGGGGGGGAAGCUCCCGCCGCGCCUGCGGAGGGGCGGAGGGGAAAUAAUAAGAGUUAAAAAUAAGAAUAAUAACAGUAAUGCAGGAGAGCUGGCGCUGCCCUCCCCCAGCCGCGCUCCCACGGGGCCGGCGGUGGUCCCGGGGCAGCCCCGUCCCUUCGGUACCCCGCUAGCCCCCCUUGUUCCCUGUGUUUUCGGCGCCCCGCGGAAACUUUGGCCACAACAACCGCGGCCGCCCCUGGAGGGAGCGGGGAGGGGCGGCCCGCCCAGCCUGCCGCGCAGAAAUGCGGGAUUCCCACCCGUUUGGUUAUUCUACAGUAAGAAAACGUACCCAAGCUGCUGCUACUCCCCCCCACCCCCCAACCUUCUGCGAGUUCACGGUUUAAAGCGCACCAGGAGCUUCCCUACGCUCCCCAUCCGCAGGUCCCCGUUAUAUACAGCCGUGCCCCUCGCGCCGCGCCCGCGGGCACCGCGACCGCAUCGGUCCCCCCUCACACCGCGGGGUAACAGGGCACCGACGCAGCGAGCGAGGGGGCUCAGCCACACUCAAGAUGGCGCCGAGAGCCCUUCGUGGGGCAACCACACGAUGUUACCAUCCCCUGGGAGCCGCUCCGCCGCCUACGACGGCCCCGGGGGUGAGACAGAGCCGCGCGUAAGUGGUCCCCGGUGUAGAAAGCGCGAAUCAAGGGGUGAAGGGUGGGAAAAACCCCCCUCCAUAUGGAGCACAGCGGGGCUGCCACACUCAACAUGGCCGCCAGACCGAGGCCGAACUUGUCCUCGGAGGGCGGGAUAUGGGCAUCGAACGGUGUGGAUUGGUCAUUAG